GUAAGACAGAUGGUCGCUGCCGCAGAGGCCGAAAGGCUGCGGGAGAGGAAAGUCCGGGCUUCACAGGGCAGGAUGCCAGAUAACGUCUGGCGGAGGCGACUCCAGGGAUAGUGCAACAGAAAUAAACCGCACAGCGUAAGCUGUGUAAGGGUGGAAAGGCAGUGUAAGAGACUACCGCCCGACUGGUAACAGGCGGGGCAUAUGUAAACCCCAUUUGAAGCAAGGCCGAACAGGGAGCACAGGGCGGCCCGUCCGCUCCGGGUAGGCUGCUUGAGGCCGGCGGUGACGCCGGUCCUAGAUAGAUGACCAUCCAACGACAUAACCCGGCUUAUCGUCUUACUCG
rnacentral:RNase_P_RNA from 1 species